rnacentral:lncRNA from 1 species
AGUGGAGUGUGGGAAGGAAUUAACCCCUCCCUGAGAAAAGUUACAAAUGAAGGGCAUCACAGUUAUCCCUGAGCCCUCCAAUUAAGGGAUGCUCUUACAGCACAAAGCCCGAGCACUGGCUGAUCUCUUUUCAAUAGUGGUGCUUUCCCAUCCAUGUCUUCCUGAGAGUCUCUGGGCAUCAGAUUUGAUACUCAGCACCUUCAGGAAGGCCCAGAGCAUCUUCUGAUUCCAGUGGUGCUCACCCUGUGAUAGCAAUACCCAGUUUACAGAAGGGUGUGUGAGAUUUCCGACCUCCAACCACAGAGGUAGGGUAAGAAUUGGCCUCCAUUUUAGGCCUAGAGUCAUGCCUGGUCGAGUCCAGGAGCUCAGCCUUUAGUUCUCUCUUCCCCAACUCUUGCUCUCUUCUGCUAUCUUCGGAGGAGAGGGUAACUGCUCUGGAGAACUAGAUUCUAAGGGUGAGGGAUCUGGAUUUUGAUAGACAGGGAUGAUGUUGUGAUGCUGGGAUUCUACAGCAGCUCAAAGGAGACCCAACUAGAUGGCUAGGGAAUAAGGAUGUCAGCUCCAGAAUUCUAGACCUGGAACGGGCUUGACUUGUCUCAGUAGCUACCAUCUGAUACCUUUAGGGUGAGCACUGAGCUUUGCCAUCUCCGUAGCAGAGUGGAUUUGGGCCAGACACGGAUCCUGAAGGUCAAAUAUGAGAUGAAAGCCCAUCUAAACCCUAUGGACAUGUGUCAUUUGUGUUGUGUGUUUUCCUUCUACAACUUCCUAUCUGUCUUUCCGGAGCUGGCUGAGUCAGCAGAGGGCAUGGGUGGAUGCCAAGGACAACUGCCUUUGCCAGACCCCUCUGCUUCUAGCACAUUCCAGACCCACAGGCACACCUAGCUGCUUCUUCAGUUCCCGAGUUGCAAGUAUUCACUCUGUGUGUAUGUGUGUGUGUGUGGGUGAGAGUGUGUGUCCACACUACUGUGUGUGUCCUCUGAAUUUCCCAGCCUUGGGCUCAGGACCUGAAACGGGACUCUAAGUUAAGCUAGUGGGUAUUUGGGAUAGAAUUCUGUUCUUUCCAAGUAGGAAACUUGGGGAAAGGAUCAGGCACACACACACACACACACACACACACACACACACACACACACACACACACACCUCAAUUCCUCCUGUGGGGCCUAUAGAACAUUCCAGGCUUUUGCCUUCUCUUGCCUCUGCUCCUUGAACUUUAACAGUUAGCCAGGGAGGCUCCAGAGGUUCCUGGAAUGUACCCUGCAUAUAACUUAGAAGUGCCACCACUUGGGAACCAAGAGAAUAUUUUCUGCUCAGAGAAUAGCUUGUCCUUACCUGAGGCCUCGGAGACUUUGUCACUGCAAAGGACUUGAGUAGACUCUCCUUGCUCUCAGGACACAGAAAAUCAUGAGGACGUCAUUGAAGUUAGCAAAUGUUCCUCU